rnacentral:lncRNA from 1 species
UCCGCCACUGUCCAGACUGCUAACAACAACACAAAGGCUCAAGAUGGCCAAACUUAAAAAUACAAGGACGAGACUCAAACAUGGGCCCAACCAAGAACGCCCAGAAAGAAAAGACAUGUAUGCUUCACGUGUACGAAGAAGAGGUUGAAAGAAAACACGCUUCGAAACGCAGAAACUGCAUCCAUACCGCCGCCGACAAAAGCUUUAUGCUGGAACUCUGAAAAACCACCGGAGACCAAUCUUAUCAAAGCUAGAAAAAAUACAUGAAUAAAACAGAGACAAACGAGUGAACUGCUGAGUCAAUCACUUCACCGGAUUAAAAACACCCAAUCCAAAGGAACCACUGCAACCUAAUCUCUACGGAUUGAAAGACGUCGUCGGAAACCUAAGCGUUAAACUACUGGAACCUACCGGAGAAAAGGUAUAAGUCAGAGUCAAAAGUCGGCCGUCUUCACCGGAGAAGAAAGUUAUGACGUCAGAGUCUGAAAGAAGCCAUCGAUGUCAAAAAGGAAAACAAUCGCCGAAAACGAGAAGCAAGAUACUACUCCGACGGUAACACCGAGAGUCCGCCACAGCCGAAAACCAC